rnacentral:rRNA from 1 species
GAUGAACGCUGGCGGCGUGCCUAAUACAUGCAAGUCGAGCGAACGGACGAGAAGCUUGCUUUUCUGAUGUUAGCGGCGGACUGGUGAGUAACACGUGGAUAACCUACCUAUAAGACUGGGAUAACUUCGGGAAACCGGAGCUAAUACCGGAUAAUAUUUUGAAUCGCAUGGUUCAAAAGUGAAAGACGGUCUUGCUGUCACUUAUAGAUGGAUCCGCGCUGCAUUAGCUAGUUGGUAAGGUAACGGCUUACCAAGGCAACGAUGCAUAGCCGACCUGAGAGGGUGAUCGGCCACACUGGAACUGAGACACGGUCCAGACUCCUACGGGAGGCAGCAGUAGGGAAUCUUCCGCAAUGGGCGAAAGCCUGACGGAGCAACGCCGCGUGAGUGAUGAAGGUCUUCGGAUCGUAAAACUCUGUUAUUAGGGAAGAACAUAUGUGUAAGUAACUGUGCACAUCUUGACGGUACCUAAUCAGAAAGCCACGGCUAACUACGUG